rnacentral:rRNA from 1 species
AUGGGCAAUAGCUUGAGGUGCUGCCUGGCUUGCGUGCUCCCCUGCGGCGCGCUGGACCUGAUCAGGAUCGUCCACCUCAGCGGCCGCGUCGAGGAGUACGGCAGGCCGGUGGCCGCAGGCGAGAUCCUCUCCGCCAACCCGAACCACGUGCUGAGCAAGCCGUGCUCGCAGGGCGUCGUGCGGAGGAUACUCAUCGUCUCCCCGGAGUCCGAGCUGGAGCGCGGCCAGAUAUACUUUCUCAUCCCGGCGUCCUCGGUGCCGGCUGAGAGGAAGAAGAAGACCGGCUCCAGCGCUGGCUCGCAAGGCGCCGCUGGCGUCGCGCCGUCAAGGACGGCAAACCCUGGCCACGGCGGCAAGGCGCGCAGCCACGUUAAGAGCAAGCCGUCGUCAGGUCACGGCAGUGGCCGUGACGUGCAGUCCGAGAAGAGGUCGUUGCACCGGCGGCGAGUGAGCACCGGUGGCCGGACCGCCGUGUGGAGGCCACACCUCGAGUGCAUCGUGGAGGGCACUUGA